UACAGAGGUCUCAAGCGUUGUUCGGAUUCAUUGGGCGUAAAGGGUGCGUAGGCGGCUUUCUAAGUCGGAUGUGAAAACUCUGGGCUCAACCCAGAGCCUGCAUCUGAAACUGGAGAGCUAGGGUUUUGGAGGGGAAAGCGGAAUUCCUGGUGUAGCGGUGAAAUGCGUAGAUAUCAGGAGGAACACCGGUGGCGAAGGCGGCUUUCUGGACAAAUACCGACGCUGAGGCACGAAAGCUAGGGGAGCAAACAGG
rnacentral:rRNA from 1 species